UACCGGCCGCAGCGCGCGGUCGAUCACUUCGUGCGCUGGGCGAAAGAUUUGGACGACGAGCGGAUGAAGGCGGAGUUCUAUCCCCGGGUCGACAA
rnacentral:tRNA from 1 species